rnacentral:rRNA from 1 species
UACGGGGGGGGGCAAGCGUUGUUCGGAAUUACUGGGCGUAAAGGGCUCGUAGGCGGCCAACUAAGUCAGACGUGAAAUCCCUCGGCUUAACCGGGGAACUGCAUCUGAUACUGGAUGGCUUGAGAUUGGGAGAGGGGUGCGGAAUUCCAGGUGUAGCGGUGAAAUGCGUAGAUAUCUGGAGGAACACCGGUGGCGAAGGCGGCAUCCUGGACCAACACUGACGCUGAGGAGCGAAAGCCAGGGGAGCAAACGGG